UACGUAGGGUGCGAGCGUUGUCCGGAAUUACUGGGCGUAAAGCGCACGUAGGCGGAUCUUUAAGUCAGGGGUGAAAUCCUGGAGCUCAACUCCAGAACUGCCUUUGAUACUGGGGAUCUCGAGUCCGGAAGAGGUGAGUGGAACUCCGAGUGUAGAGGUGAAAUUCGUAGAUAUUCGGAAGAACACCAGUGGCGAAGGCGGCUCACUGGUCCGGUACUGACGCUGAGGUGCGAAAGCGUGGGGAGCAAACAGGG
rnacentral:rRNA from 1 species